rnacentral:rRNA from 1 species
GAUGAACGCUGGCGGCGUGCCUAAUACAUGCAAGUCGAGCGAACAGACGAGGAGCUUGCUCCUCUGACGUUAGCGGCGGACGGGUGAGUAACACGUGGAUAACCUACCUAUAAGACUGGGAUAACUUCGGGAAACCGGAGCUAAUACCGGAUAAUAUAUUGAACCGCAUGGUUCAAUAGUGAAAGACGGUUUUGCUGUCACUUAUAGAUGGAUCCGCGCCGCAUUAGCUAGUUGGUAAGGUAACGGCUUACCAAGGCAACGAUGCGUAGCCGACCUGAGAGGGUGAUCGGCCACACUGGAACUUAGACACGGUCCAGACUCCUACGGUAGGCCGCAGUAGGGAAUCUUCCGCAAUGGGCGAAAGCCUGACGGAGCAACGCCGCGUGAGUGAUGAAGGUCUUCGGAUCGUAAAACUCUGUUAUUAGUGAAGAACAAAUGUGUAAGUAACUAUGCACGUCUUGACGGUACCUAAUCAGAAAGCCCCGGCUAACUACGUG